rnacentral:rRNA from 1 species
AGAGUUUGAUCAUGGCUCAGAACGAACGCUGGCGGCAGGCUUUACUCAUGCAAGUUGAACGGGAUGAUACCUUCGGGUGUCGGCGAGUAGCGCACGGGUGCGUAACGCGUAGGAAUAUACCAUAUAGUAGAGAAUAACUAUUAGAAAUGAUAGCUAAUACUCUAUAGUCCCUUCGGGGUAAAGAUUUAUCGCUAUAUGAUUAGCCUGCGUUAGAUUAGCUAGUUGGUGAGGUAAUUGCUCACCAAGGCUACGAUCUAUAGCUGGUCUGAGAGGAUGAUCAGCCACACUGGAACUGAGACACGGUCCAGACUCCUACGGGAGGCAGCAGUGGGGAAUAUUGGACAAUGGGGGCAACCCUGAUCCAGCCAUGCCGCGUGAAUGAAGAAGGCCUUCGGGUUGUAAAGUUCUUUUAAUAGUGAAGAUAAUGACGGUAACUAUAGAAAAAGCACCGGCUAACUCCGUGCCAGCAGCCGCGGUAAUACGGAGGGUGCGAGCGUUGUUCGGAUUUACUGGGCGUAAAGGGUGCGUAGGCGGAUAUUAAGGUCAGAUGUGAAAGCCCAGGGCUCAACCCUGGAACUGCAUUUGAAACCGAAUGUCUGGAGUAUGACAGAGGAUGAUGGAAUUUCUAGUGUAGCAGUGAAAUGCGUAGAUAUUAGAAGGAACACCAGAGGCGAAGGCGAUCAUCUGGGUCAUUACUGACGCUGAGGCACGAAAGUGUGGGUAGCAAACAGGAUUAGAUACCCUGGUAGUCCACACCGUAAACGAUGUAUGCUAGUUGUUGGGAUUUAUUUCUCAGUGACGCAGCUAACGCAAUAAGCAUACCGCCUGGGGACUACGGCCGCAAGGCUAAAACUCAAAGGAAUUGACGG